AAAGAUGAUGAGGUUAAUAGGUUCGAGGUGGAAGCAUGGUGACAUGUGGAGCUGACGAAUACUAAUCGAUCGAAGACUUAAUCAA
rnacentral:rRNA from 1 species